CGCCUAAACUCGUUGGAUUUUCCACCGGGCAUGGCGCCAAAGACCCUUCACAGAUACUGAACCCCGCGUUCAGCGACUCUGUGAAGGGCUAUAUCGGGAAACCGGUAUGGGGCCGCAAGGCCU
rnacentral:sRNA from 12 species